GUGCCAGCCGCCGCGGUAAUACGGGCAGCACGAGUGAUGGCCGAUAUUAUUGGGCCUAAAGCGUCCGUAGCUGGCCGGGCAAGUCCGUUGGGAAAUCCACCCGCUUAACGGGUGGGCGUCCAGCGGAAACUGUCCGGCUUGGGGCCGGAAGACCUGAGGGGUACGUCCGGGGUAGGAGUGAAAUCCCGUAAUCCUGGACGGACCGCCGGUGGCGAAAGCGCCUCAGGAGGACGGACUCGACAGUGAGGGACGAAAGCCAGGGUCUCGAACCGGAUUAGAAACCCGAGUAGUCC
rnacentral:rRNA from 1 species